AAGCCGGGCAUUCCAAUUGUCUCGCUUCUUCAACUAGACACUUAAAUAUUUAUUUCUGUCGUCGUGAGCAGCGCCAGACGAUGCCGAAACGUGCAGCUAAACGCAAACGUCGUCGGAGCGAGGGAUUUGUGCUAAUGAUGAAGACUGCUGGCUGUACCUUUCUGGUAGCUGUCAUUAUUUUGGUCGCAUUCGUGGUUGUUCUACCACUCCUCAGACAUGGCGGGCCCGACAACGAAAUCUACACGGAGCUGUACGUCGUACAUAGAAAAGGCAAUGUGAACUCUUCUUUGAAGAACGCAAGCGACAACGGCGGCGUGCCUCAUCUACGGCUGCGGAAGGAUUUAUCCACGCCGCCUGUUGCAUUAGAGCGUCCUGCGACAUACAUGACAGGGACGGCUGCAGACACUUCGACAAACGCAUCGAAUACGAGUAAUACGACGAUCAUGUUAGAUGGUAUGACAACUCUUACAGAUAUGAAUAAACACGUAACAUAAUA